GCCCCUGAUCAGCUAAAGGCGUGAGUUCGGAAGGUGGGGACCUAUCGCACAGGCCCAUGAGUGUGCGUGCUGUAUCGCAUGUUCAGGAGCUGCUGAAGGUUCCGGGUGAUACAGUGGAGGGUACUUUCCUGGAGCCACUAUGAAGUGAGCAGCUGUCCCUCUGCCAGGUCCCUCUGCCAUGCCAGCCUGCCUUGGAGUCAGCCCUGAAAUAUGCCAAGGCUGAUACUUGGAAGGCAAUGGAAAUGCCAGCCUGAGUGUGCUGGGCACCUGGGGACCCCGAACAGUAUCACAGGUAAAGGAGGGACAGUUAGGCCUUCACCAAGUUCCUGCCAAAGGUCUCCUCCACGGAGACCACAUUAUAGCCACCUGGCUGGACACACUCCAUGGCUGUGCUCUGUGUGUGGCACAUGCUGCCAGUGUGGCUGUGGACAGAGGACUCAGCUCACGCAGGACACCGUCUGCUGCACAUGGAGGCUGUGUGGGCCCAGACACCAAGUCUGGGUUAUUCCACAGUUGUUUUGCUCUGCUUCACAGUACUGACCUAAGAUUGAAGCUGAUACAGUCACCAAAUCCUCAGAAACAAACCACUCCAGUCUCAGAACAAAUUCUGGUGGUCAGAACACCGGCCCCAUCCAUUACUGUGGGCUUGUCAUACCCAGCAGGAAAGGAUUUUCGCACCUGGGGCCUCCCCGCAAGGCCUUGUACUCAGAUUUCUAAACCACUCUAAUAAAGAUGUUCAAAGUCA